rnacentral:rRNA from 1 species
UACGUAGGGUGCGAGCGUUGUCCGGAAUUAUUGGGCGUAAAGGGCUCGUAGGCGGUCUGUCACGUCGGGAGUGAAAACUCAGGGCUUAACCCCGAGCCUGCUUCCGAUACGGGCAGACUAGAGGUAUGCAGGGGAGAACGGAAUUCCUGGUGUAGCGGUGAAAUGCGCAGAUAUCAGGAGGAACACCGGUGGCGAAGGCGGUUCUCUGGGCAUUACCUGACGCUGAGGAGCGAAAGUGUGGGGAGCGAACAGG